CUUACCCACAUUAGAGUCACGAAGAACAUUACUCGACUUAUGUUUUAUGCAUAAGGUUUUAAACGCUACUAUAGAUUGUCCCAAGUUAUUGUCUCUUUUUAAACUUAGGGUGCCUUCCAGAUUGAAUAGACGAUCAGAAAUAUUUUCAGUUCCACAGGGAGGUAACCACAUGUGCACAUGGGACUGUGUGGUUGGCGCACAUGUGGAGUUGGGAUUGCAAAAAGCGAUUGGAACCUUGGGUUGGCGCUAAAUAGUGGGUUAGGUAGUUGUUUGAGCCCUACUUAGGGAAUGGGAUAAUAGUUAGAAAAUGGGAAUUAUAGGCACAAACACGCGGGGCUCCCCCUCAAUUAAAUUAAUAAUAACUAUUUUUUAACACCUGAUAAAUGUGUUUUGUUCAUGUAAUAUAAAAUCUAACUAUAUUAUGUCUUUAUUAUCUAAAAUUGAGUCCACAGCCAACCCCUCCAACUAAAAAGUGUUCCAGGCAAAACCAAAAAAUACUACUGGGGACGUAGUGAAGCCACUGCCAUUUUUGUCAAUAAGGUUGUUGUUUUAUUUUUCUUGUGUGUAAUUUACAAAUUAUGUAAUUAAAAGGGGUAUAAAGCGAUAAAAAAUUAUAUAAAUUUACAAUAAUAACCCCCAAAAAGUUCCAAAAUUGCCCCAAUAUAUAUAUUUUUUAACUAUAGCAAAAUCAAGAGCUAAAAAACCUUGUGCAAGUUGGCAAUAAUAUGUAUUUAACAUGUCCCUUUAACUUUACCGGACCCCAUGGUCCAUUGGAGCCAUCCUUCAAAAUGGUGAAGUUCUAUGCUGUUAAAAGCAUUUUAGGACAUUCAAUAUAGUGACUGCACCAUAUAAAUUUUAGGUAUCUUAUAAUUUUAGUGUAGUCCGCAUUAUUUAAUACGAUAUAAUAUAAUAUUACAUUCUGUGUACCUUAAGUAUGAAACGUUAACCGUAGGUCAUCUUUCUGACAUAUUACUUUUAUUUUAUUGUACUACUUGGGGAAAGCCCUGUUUGUACCUUGCAUAGUAAAUAAAUAAAAACAUUCAAUG